rnacentral:rRNA from 1 species
UACGGAGGGAGCUAGCGUUGUUCGGAAUUACUGGGCGUAAAGCGCGCGUAGGCGGCUUUGUAAGUUAGAGGUGAAAGCCCGGAGCUCAACUCCGGAACUGCCUUUAAAACUGCAUCGCUUGAAUCCAGGAGAGGUGAGUGGAAUUCCGAGUGUAGAGGUGAAAUUCGUAGAUAUUCGGAAGAACACCAGUGGCGAAGGCGGCUCACUGGACUGGUAUUGACGCUGAGGUGGCGAAAAGCGU